rnacentral:lncRNA from 1 species
CUCUUUUUUUAAAUGUAAAACACCAGAGCUUCGUAUUGUAUUGUGUGCAAUUCUAGUCACAUAAAUAAAUGACUGAAUAAAAGCAAAUGAAAGACAUUUGAUACAUUUUUAAAAUGUAAGGCUAAAGAAUGGUAAAUCGGAUUUCUCUGUCUCUAACAUGGCUUUGGUCUUUAGUGUAAAUAAAUCGUUUUGUUCCAAUCCCUAUCUCUCUGUGUAUUGACUUGUCCUUCCCAAGAUUAUCUGCAUCCCGUGAGGCAUUUCUUCAGGGGUUGCUAAGGGAGCUCUUCCCCCUAGGAAAUUUCCAUUGCAACUAAGUGAAAUUGCUAGAAAGGCUGGGCCGGCCUGGCGGCCUCUCCCUGGGGUCCAGCUUUUCCUGACUCAGCGCCCUUGCGGCCAAGGAGAAGGAGAUGGGAAAAGACUCCGCAGUGACCGCUAUUCAUGCUGAACUCUGUCAACCAGAUGCAGAAAAUGCCUUUAAAGUGAGACUUAGUAUCAGAACAGCUCUUGGAGAUAAAGCAGUAAGUGAAGCACCUGCAUAUUCAUUUUACAUUUUCUUUGUAAUAACACUUUUCUUUAAUA